AAACUAAGGGCCUGAUCCAAAUCCCACUGAAAUCAGUGGCAGUCUUUCCAUUGGCUUCACAAAGCUGUGAAUCAGGCCCUAUACUU
rnacentral:pre_miRNA from 1 species